rnacentral:rRNA from 1 species
GGGGAAUAUUGCACAAUGGGCGCAAGCCUGACGCAGCGACGCCGGCGUGAGGGAUGACGGCCUUCGGGUUGUAAACCUCUUCGCCAGGGACGAAGCGCAAGUGACGGUACCUGGAGAAGAAGCACCGGCCAACCACGUGCCAGCAGCCGCGGUAAUACGUAGGGUCCGAGCGUUGUCCGGAACUACUGGGCGUAAAGAGCUCGUAGGUGGUUUGUCGCGUUGUUCGUGAAAACUCACAGCUUAACUGUGGGCGUGCGGGCGAUACGGGCAGACUUGAGGUACUGCAGGGGAGACUGGAAUUCCUGGUGUAGCGGUGGAAUGCGCAGAUAUCAGGAGGAACACCGGUGGCGAAGGCGGGUCUCUGGGCAGUAACUGACGCUGAGGAGCGAAAGCGUGGGGAGCGAACAGGAUUAGAUACCCUGGUAGUCCACGCCGUAAACGGGGGUACUAGGUGUGGGUUUCCUUCCUUGGGAUCCGUGCCGUAGCUAACGCAUUAAGUACCCCGCCUGGGGAGUACGGCCGCAAGGCUAAAACUCAAAGAAAUUGACGGGGGCCCGCACAAGCGGCGGAGCAUGUGGAUUAAUUCGAUCAACGCGAAGAACCUUACCUGGGUUUGACAUGCACAGGACGCCGGCAGAGAUGUCGGUUCCCUUGUGGCCUGUGUGCAGGUGGUGCAUGGCUGUCGUCAGCUCGUGUCGUGAGAUGUUGGGUUAAGUCCCGCAACGAGCGCAACCCUUGUCUCAUGUUGCCAGCACGUUAUGGUGGGGACUCGUGAGAGACUGCCGGGGUCAACUCGGAGGAAGGUGGGGAUGACGUCAAGUCAUCAUGCCCCUUAUGUCCAGGGCUUCACACAUGCUACAAUGGCCGGUACAAAGGGCUGCGAUGCCGUGAGGUGGAGCGAAUCCUUUCAAAGCCGGUCUCAGUUCGGAUCGGGGUCUGCAACUCGACCCCGUGAAGUGGGAGUCGCUAGUAAUCGCAGAUCAGCAACGCUGCGGUGAAUACGUUCCCGGGCCUUGUACACACCGCCCGUCACGUCAUGAAUGUCGGUAACACCCG